rnacentral:rRNA from 1 species
AUUGAACGCUGGCGGCAGGCCUAACACAUGCAAGUCGAGCGGUAGAGAGGAGCUUGCUUCUCUUGAGAGCGGCGGACGGGUGAGUAAUGCCUAGGAAUCUGCCUGGUAGUGGGGGAUAACGCUCGGAAACGGACGCUAAUACCGCAUACGUCCUACGGGAGAAAGUGGGGGAUCUUCGGACCUCACGCUAUCAGAUGAGCCUAGGUCGGAUUAGCUAGUUGGGGAGGUAAAGGCUCACCAAGGCGACGAUCCGUAACUGGUCUGAGAGGAUGAUCAGUCACACUGGAACUGAGACACGGUCCAGACUCGUACGGGAGGCAGCAGUGGGGAAUAUUGGACAAUGGGCGCAAGCCUGAUCCAGCCAUGCCGCGUGUGUGAAGAAGGUCUUCGGAUUGUAAAGCACUUUAAGUUGGGAGGAAGGUCAGUAGCUUAAUACGUUGCUGAUUUGACGUUACCGACAGAAUAAGCACCGGCUAACUCUGUGCCAGCCGCCGCCGUAAUAC